rfam:Myotis brandtii contig166826, whole genome shotgun sequence.
GGCCUCCCUCUCUGGGGCGAUCAAUCACAGGGCCCCUAGAUUGAUCGCCCCGCAGAGGGAGGCC